rnacentral:ncRNA from 1 species
AUAAACGUGAUGACGGGACCAGUAAGAAAGACAUUGACGCGAUAAGAGAGCAAAUUCCGUAGGCUGUGAGAAUUUGCCGUGGCAUCUUUCCGAAUCCUACCCCCGAGCGGCUUGCCCUAACAGGCUGGACAGUGCCUUCUGUUACAAGGCUCAAGCCGGAUGAGAAUUUUUCAUCAAUAAAGGUGGUACCGCGGAAGUGAAACUUUCGUCCUUUAC